UGGGGUGCGGCUCAGUGGUAGAGCACCUGUCUAGCACACACAAGGCCCUGGGCUUAAUCCCCAGAGCCACAA
rnacentral:tRNA from 1 species